rnacentral:lncRNA from 1 species
CCCCACGCGGGCACCCAACCGCCACUUUCCUGGUCUUUCAACCCCGCCCCACCUCCCGACCCGCCGGCGCCGGGCCGAUUCCGGCGGCUGGACCGCGCCGCUGCCGCCAACUUUGUGGCCGGUCGGGUCGCUCGGCCUCCGCGCACCUCCCUGCCGCCGUUCCCCGCCCUCGCGCGCGCUCUUCAACCCCCGCCGGCAACCCGCCCAACCCGUGCCGCUGCCGUGCUCGAAGAAGGAGGUGGCCAGCUCUGCCGACCGCCGUUGCUCCUCCUAUUCGCCUCCCCUAUCGCCGGUACCGCCCCCACUGCGCUUCUUCGCCCCAGGAGCCGCAGGAGCUGCUGCCCGACCCGAGCGCCGCCAGAUGCGAAGACGAAGAAGAAGAGCAGGGGCGCACCUCCUCAGGGCAAGGAGCACUGUCCCUGCCGCUGCCGCCUGUGGAACCCACUCGCUUCUCCAGCUGCGCCGCCCCGCAUCCCGCCACUACCCCGGCCGCCUUCCCUGACCCGCGUCGCCUCGUCCGGCGGCUCAAAUUUGACCACCAAACACCGCUGCUGCCCUCCCCCUUGCGCCGGCACCGCCGCGUACGACCUCCCCCCGUGCCCCGCAAUCAUCGUCUGCCAUUCUAGCUUGAAUCAAUUUGGGACGAUUUCGUGUUCAGCCGUGUUGUUGAUUUGGGGAAGACGGGGAUUUUGUGCAAAAGAAAAAGAAAAAUGAAAACUUAUAGAUAUGGGUAUCCGGUUUUAGGUAUGCUCUAAAAGUUGCACAGAUUUUGGGUAUCCAAAUUUUCUUUGUCCCCUGCCCAUAAUGCUUUUCGAUACCCAAAAUAUGAUUAUACUGUUGGAAAUGUUUUUAUAAGCCAAAAAUCAAAAGUCACUUUACGCCUGACCAAACAGGAGUACCACGCGUCCACAUCGACAUUGCUCGAUUUCUGCCCAAUCCAAGCCGACUAGCUAGCACACUCAUGAAAUAGAAAAACAGUAGUUCAUGGCCCAUUAUUGCAGUACUUCUGAGUACAACACAACUGUUUUUGGGUUUUUUUGCUCACUUUCCAAUAUCUUGGAUUCAUGUGCUCCGAUGCACGGUUUCAAGCCGUUUUUAGCUAGUCUAGAAAAAAUCGCUGUUUAAUCUAUUUUGAUGAGUUGUAACCCACUUAAUUUUUUUUCCGGACGUUUUCCGAUAUCGUGGCCCCGGCAAAAGCUUUUAGGCCAUUUUGGGGAGAUCAAGAAAAAUCAUUGCCGAUUUUAAUAUUGUGACUCCCGAUACACGAGCUUUGGCCGAUUUGGACCGGUCCAGAAAAGGCACUCUUUUGGUUGUUUUCGGCAGAUUUUUGGAUAUCUCGACCCUGUUUACAUGUUUCGAAUUGUUUUGAGCCGGUCCAGAAAAAUCAAUAUUUUGGGCUUUUUCGUUGGCUAUAUAACCGACUUUUUUGGGUUCUCUAUUGUUUUUUGAUAUCAUGACCUUGAUACACACUUUUGGGCUUUUUGGGAAGUUCCAGAAAAAUCAUCGUUCUAUCAGUUUUCAUGAUCAUAGCCCACGGUUUGGGUGUUUUACCGAUUUUCCAAUAUCUUGACCCCUAGUACACGGAUUCAAGCCGUGUUGAGCCAGUCCAAAAAAAUCAAUAUUUUGGCUGCUUUUAUGGAUUAUAACCCACUUUUUAAAACGAUUGUCCAAUUUUUCUGAUAUUGUGGCACCCCGUACAUAAUUUCGGUCCAUUUUCUACAGUUCCAGAAAAAUAAUCGUUUUAGGUGUUUUAAUGAGCUAUAGCCCACAUUUUUUUUGUGUUUUCAACCGAUUUUCUAUAUCAUGACCUCCCUGGGUAAACAGUUUCGAGACGUUUCAAGCCGGUCCAGAAAAAAGAACCGUUUUGGCCAUUUUUGUGAGCAAUAACCAAUAUUUUUUUUCUUUUUUUUUUACCGAUUUUUGUUACCAUGGCCCAAAGUACACGUUUUCAGGCACAUCCAAAAAAUCAUUGUUUGUGAUGUAGGCCACCCCUUUUGGGUUUUCUGCCAAUUUUCUGAUAUUGUGGCCCCCGGUACACACUGUUGGUACUUUUUGCGUUUGGUCCUUUCGUGGGUUAUAUCUCACGUUUUUUUGUUUUUGUUUCGGGCUGUUUCACACCGAUUAAAAAAUAUCACCAAUUUAACUAGUUUUGUGGACUAUAGCCAAUGAUUUUGGGGUUUUUGGCUGAUUUUCUGAUAUUGUGACCCCCCUCCCCUCGUUACCCACUUUUGGGUCAUUCUGAGAUUCCAGGAAAAUCAUAUUUAUGUCGUUUUAGUGGACCCAUGUUUUCAGGUUUCCGGCCGUUUUUUCAAUGACAUGACCCAACUUUGGUUGAUUUUCUGAUAUCGUGACCCCCGAUAAACUGUUUCAGGCUUUUUUGGUUCGGUAAAAAACACUGUUUUGGUUGCUUCGUGGGCUUCUUUGCCGAUUUUCUGAUAUCUUGCCCUCGAUACAAGGCUUUAGGCCGUUUCAGGGAGGUCUAAAAGAUCACCGCUUUGACAACGUUUUUGGGUUUUCAGCCGAUUUUCCUAUACGUGACCCUCCCAUUAUAUAGUUUUUUUUUCGUUUAUAGCCGGUCUAGCAACAUGAAUAUUUUUCCUGUUUGCACUCACGGUUAAGGGGUUUUGGUUGAUUAUCCGAUAUCGUGACCCCUCCCCAUACAUGGUUUCGAGCCGUUUUGAACCGGUCUAGUGUGGCUAUUUUCAUGGGCCCUCAUUUUUUUAUCUUUAGCGAAUUUUCGAUAGGGAUAACGUGAUCCAAAGAGCACGUUUUCGGCCAGUUGUAAAAUCAUUGUUUAGGUAUUCCCUUAGCCAACUGUGUACUCUUUAUAAGCAGUGGCAUUGCAACGUUAGAAGCUAGAAUCAUUGAAAUUAUUAACGAAAAUCGUAAAACCCUACCAGCAAGUGAGGCCUAAAUUUUAUUUAUUUCCACAUAUUUUGCUUUUCACACCUCGUAAUUAUCUACUCCCUUUGAUCCUAAAUUCUUGACUCAAAUUUGUUCAAAUAUGGAUA